UACGGAGGGGGCAAGCGUUGUUCGGAAUUACUGGGCGUAAAGGGCGCGCAGGCGGCUGCUCAAGUCAGGCGUGAAAGGCCUGGGCUCAACCCGGGAAUUGCGCUUGAGACUGGGCUGGCUUGAGUGCGGGAGAGGAUGGUGGAAUUCCCAGUGUAGAGGUGAAAUGCGUAGAGAUCCGGAGGAAUACCAGUGGCGAAGGCGGCACGCUGGGCCAUUACUGACGCUAAGACGCGAAAGCAUGGGUAGCGAACGGG
rnacentral:rRNA from 1 species